ACCAUCCGGUAUCUAUCCAGAGCAUACUAUAUGGUCAGCAGCAGGCUCGGGUCUGUGGGAUAAAAAUGCGAUAGACAGUAGUUUAUACAGUGCUCAGUCUGCCCCAAGCACUGGUCUAAGUGCCUUCCAUGCAGGAACUGAUCUGAUCCUAGUAGCAGCCAUGGGAGAUUCAAGACUCAAGAAGCUUAAUGAACCCCAAGCAGGAUAAAAUUAAAGAAAACCACACAUAGACCCAUCAUAAUCGAAUUGGUGAAAAUUAAGGUGAAGAAAAGCCUUUGAAAGCAGCUAGAGGAAAAACUACACUUUACACACAAAGGAACAAGAAUUCUAAUGCCAGGAAAUUUUUCAUUGGAACCCCGAAGGUCAGAAGACAGUGGAACAUCAUUUUUAAAGUGCUGAAAGAAAAGCACCAUCAACCCAGAAUUCUAUAGCCAGCAAAAAUAUCCUCCAGGUAUGAAGUCAAAAUGAAGCUAUUUUCACAUGAAGGAAAACUAAGACAGUUUGUCACAAGAAUACCUGUAUUGUAAGAAUUGUUAAAGGAAAUUCAUCAUGUUGAAGGAGAAUGAUAACAAAACACAGCUGGGUCUUGAGGAAUGAAGGAAGAAAACCAGAAAGGAACAGAAACAAAUAACUGGAUCUCUCUAGUGUCUAAAUGGAUCCCAUCUGCUUUUGCAAUCAAUCUGUUGGGAUAUGCUGUUUUGGAUGAAAUAUGUGAAGGAAGUCCAGCUCCAUCCAAAUGUGUAGGUAGGAGUUUUUAAUCGGUUUUAUCAGAAUGUGGCUAUUCAGUUUUGAUAUUACACUAAAACUCAAAAAAGGACAGUUUCUUCUUUUACAUUUUUAAAAGUUUAUUUAUUUCUAUUG